UAUAUUUUAGUAUAAGAGGUACUAAAGUUUUUGAUACUUUAAGUAAUAGUUUAAGUCUAUUAAAUAUAG
rnacentral:tRNA from 1 species